UCCUACGGGAGGCAGCAGUCGGGAAUUUUGGGCAGUGGGCGAAAGCCUGACCCAGCAACGCCGCGUGAAGGAUGAAAUCCCUCGGGAUGUGAACUUCGCAAGAGUGGGAAGAAUUAGUAGGGGUUAAUACCCCCUAUGAUGACGGUACCAUUUGUAAGCUCCGGCUAACUCCGUGCCAGCACCCGCGGUAAUA
rnacentral:rRNA from 1 species